CCGCCCGGCUCUUACGGGAGCGGUUCCGGUCGGUCGCUGCGGGUCGGGCCGUGCUGCCGCCGGGACAGGGGCGGGAGGCCGCAGGGGGCGGCCAGCAGGGGGCAGCCUCCCCCCUCCCGGCGCCGUCCCGCCCCCCGCAGCCGCCGUACCGGGGCGGGGCGGUGAGCACGGGGCCCGCCCCUCACCGCCAACCAAUCAGCUGCAGGGAGAGCACCGCGGGGCAGGGCCUGGAAGCGAGUUCUCCCAUUGGCUGAGCCACGCGUCGCUCAGGGAGUGCCCCGCUCCGCCCCUCUCCUUACAGCCGGCGUUGGGUCCGGGUCGCUCCCGCCGUUACCCCGCGGGCCCGGCUGGGAGAGCCCCUACCCCGGGAGCGCCGCCGGGCCUCGGCCCGCUCAGCAGUCCCCAGGCUCCUUCCGCACCACCCGCCGCACUGCUGGGCAGCGCCGGAGGGGGGGGUGGGGCGGGAGGGGGGCAGGAGGCGGCGGGGCGCAUGCGCCGAGCGGCUGCUGUCAGUGCGCAGGCACGGAGGUGCGGAGCGGAGGGCGGUGCUUUGUCGCCCCCUGUUGUCGCCGCCGGUCCGCGGCGGCGCCGGUGGCUGCAGCCGCCGCCGGUGCCGCACUGCACGGCCACUGUAGAGUCCGCGGCCGCCUGUCCCCUCACGGCAGCCUGGCUUUCCCUGUGUGAUCGCUGUUGUGUCUGCACAGUGCUGCGGGAGCCCGCGGCCACCCCGUACACACGGUGCCGCUGCUGCAGGCGGAGUACCGGGGCGUGAAGCCGGUUGGCCCGGUAACCACGUGCGGCACAGCCGUACACCGGCACCCCGCCCCGCCAGCCCCGCUGGGGUCCCGCCUACCGGCAGCUGAUCGGCCUCACCCAAAGCCACUCAGCUCGCCGCCUGGCCUGAUUGGCAGGUCCGGAACGCUCAGUGCCUUAUGGGAGUUGUUGUUUACGUCUCUCCUCCCCUUGGCGGAGUCGUGCGCUCGGGAACUACGUUUCCCGUCAGGCUUUGCGGGCAGCGCGCCGUGUGCAAGGCAGGGUGUGCUCAUCCGGGUUCUUUCGGCCUCUUGGCCGCCCUCCCAAUCGGCACGCAGCGAGGGCGUUCCCGAGGCGUUGAUUGGUCCGUUCGGAGCAGCGAGCCCCGUUUGAAAUCAGUUAACGGCAGCGAGUGGAGGUGCUGCGCCGUGGUAAGGGGCAUUGGGCGGCUCUCGUCCCCUUGCCGUCUGGUCGCGGUUUUGCUCCGCUUUCCCUGGCCGGUUUGCCGCUACCGGACGGUGCCCGCGGCCGGCUAUCGCCGCUGCUCAAAGCCUGAAGGAGUUUGUGUCUGCAGUUUGGCGCGAAGGAUAAACCGGCGUGGCCUCUGCUCAACGUAA
rnacentral:lncRNA from 1 species